GGUGUAGGCGUGUCUCCGCCAGUCUGUCCCUCCUGCUGAGAUCGCCAAGGUUAUCGAAGUCCCGCGACCUCUCUUCGGACUACUUUGCACUCUGCCGCCACCAGCUGCCUUCCGACCUUUGCACUAUGACCCCUCACACUACCCACUCUCUUCUGCACACGCCCUCCUCUUAGGUUCCUGAACCCUGAGCCUGGGCGGGAUCACGCUGAAGACGUGGUGGGACCUGAGUGCUGAGACGCAAAGUACAGAACCUCUACUAAAGGAAACGUCUGGAAACUCCUCUGGGGAGAUCUGCCGCAUGGCCUCUGGAGUGAACCCUAGACUCCCAUACAUUCUUCCAGAGUCCUUCUUUUGCUGGAUGUUAUGAGAAAUGACAUUCAUCAUUCUCCCAAAUACAUAAUUUGAACCCCAAGCACAAUGUUCUUCGUUAAAUCCCUGCCUUUAGAGAACGCAACACAUGAAAUCAGAAUUUACCACACAAGUAAUUUAGGGAAGGGGAUUAUUUGUGACACAGACCACUCAUCACUUUGUCAAAGAACUUGCUACUGAUUACUUUAAAUGCCAGUCUUCCAGAGUAUUCUUAAGAUGUGGUUUCAUUUGAAAGGUAUUCUUUGCACUUUUGUUUUUUCUGGAGCAAUUUUGUGGUGCACAGAGAGAGGACCUAAUUGGAGGAGGUUUUGGUGACUGUCAAUGUAUUAUUACUCUUCAGGCCUGUGUUGCCGCCCUCACAGUGCCCCCCACCCUGGGCAGCAGUGGAGGGCCGCCCUGGAGUGUCUGGUGAACUGAGGCCAGGGUUACACCUGGCAUGGCUGAUGUGGCUUGGGGGAGCCAGGAAUGAUAAAGGCCACUCAUCCAUGUCACACUCUGGGCUACUCACUCUUCUUUACUCUUCACCACAUAACCAUGGUUGGAAUGUUGGUUUAUUCCCAUUUCCCACAGAAGAAAACUGAGGCUCAGAAUGGUUAAGCCUAAGACCUCAGCCCACCAUCCCAGUUCUCAUCUGAAGAAGAGAAAGCAGAAAUGGGCCCACUCACCCUACAGAUUCUUGGAGGUCUGGCUCACUAAACCCUGAGAAAGCCCCCCAUGCCUCCUCAGACCACUCAGAAACUAUAUGACCCCUGCAAGGAGUCUGGUUAGAACAAGGGCCUACAGGGAAAACAAGUCAAAGGGCAGCAUGAGCCUGGUUCAGUGGGAGGGCCGUCAGCCUUGACAGCCACACGUUGGCCGGCAUUUGUGCAGACGUGUGUUUGUGCACACAGGGGCAAGGGUGCAGUUGGGGACAAGGGUCAUUUCUACAAAUGGAAAAGCUGUAGUCUCCUCACAGCCUCACCACAGAGAAAGGAAAGCCAGACGAAACCUGAACGACUGGACCACAGCAAGCCCUGCCCCAGCAGCGAGCCAGUGAGGCACUCCCUGUGAGAGAUGAGAAGAGCCACCUGGGCACAUGAGGCUGGGGUGGUAACGAGACAAUUCAGCAUCGCCCCUUUGCUUAGGGACCCCGGCUGGAGGCAGCACCCCUCAUUCUGCAAUUCUGGCUUGCUUGGAGCUGACCCGGGUUGUGGCGCUGAAAGCCUCGCGUCCCUGGAUACCCCUUGGUCCCAUGCAAACUGGGACAGUUGGUCAUGUGGCUAUGGAGCUCCUCUUUGCAAGCACCCCAGCCUGCCCAUAGCCAGAGCGGUGUUGUUGGUAAGUGGUGCCAACCCUUGAGUGUGGUCCUCGGACAGCGACCACGCCGUCCUCUGGGGGCUUGUUAGAAAUGCAGACUCCCGGGCUGCUCCCCAGACCUGCCCUUUAACACAGAGCUCGGGUGACUCCCGUGCAGGCUCAAGUUGGGAACAAUGACUUCGGCCUCGCUUUGCUCGGAAACGCCACGCGGACAGCGUCUGCUUCUGAGGCACCCUUUCCUGGGAGCCCCCGAUCAGACCUGGGCCCAAGCUUUGGGAAGGCCAGGAAAGCACUCGACCCAGCUGGUCGGUGACAGCCUCUCAGGGAGGCUCCCGAGGGGCAGCAGGCCUGCAGAGCGGCGGCGCCAGCCUUUUCUCCCUGAGAAUACAGGGGAGAGCAGAGCCGGAGGACUGGCCUCGCAUCUGCUCUAACUUAAAUAUGGAAGACGAUGAAUGCGUCCAAGCGUUGGCACCGUAACUUCAUAUGAUUAGCAGGACAGUACGGGCGACGCCUCCUAUCUGAUCUCAAUAUCCUAUGGUUCUCAACUUGAGUGCCGAUCAGAAGCCCUAUGGGGCUUGUUCUCCUAAAAACAAAAAUGCCAGGACCACACCUGGGACCUUCUGCAUCAGGGUCUCUGGCGAGGGCCCGGGUUUCUGUGACCUGGGGACAUCCCACCAGUGGUUCUGGGGGGUAUCCAGGGACCAGAACCGCUAGGAGCACUGCCUGCAGCCGGCUCAGCCCUGCCCUGUCUCUGCCAUCCUGCCUGUCACCAGAUGAAGGUGUCCUUCCCUCCCUCUGGAAAGCACUGAAGAGAUGCCUGGCCCCUCACCUAUGUAGUCCAGCAUACUCUUUUGGAAGAGGGGUGGAGGUGGGAGAGAAGGAGAGGAUGGUGAGAGACUAGACUCUAGAGGACCCAAACCUUGGGGGUGCCUAGAUGUGCAGUGUCCCAAUAUAGAAACCUUGACCCCAUGACUGAAAGAUUCACAGCAAACUUCUGCUUUCUGGGGAACAGACAGGUUCCUGAACGUGCCUCAGGACCUGACUGACCCUUGAGCUGGGUUUUGAAGGUCAAGUAGGAGUUAGCCAAGGAGCUGAGGCCAGGGUGGAGGGUAGUGCCAGGGGCAUAGAGAACAGAGGGGCAGCCGUGGGUGUGUGUGACGAUGCUAUUCUAGCAAGAGGCUGAAGCAGGCCUUACAGGUCUUGAAUCUUGGGAGGUUAUGCUCCAUCCUGACGGUGACAGGGAGCCACUGAAGGGGCUCAGCAGGAGGAAGGGAGCAUCGUCAGAUGUGCACUGACACAGACCACAUCAGGGUUGGAGAAAGAUUCCAUGCCCAGAGGCAGGGCCUCCAAAGAAGAGAUUGUUGUGGGAUCCGGGGCAUUUGAAGGCCCCUAAACCAAGACAAUAGCCACAGAGAGGAGAGGACACCCUCCGAUCAUGUUUAGAAGAUAGAACGACUGGGCCACUGUGGCUUGAACGUGAGCAGUAAAUGGGAGGGAGGAGUGGAGACAGAAGCCCAGGUUCCUGGAUGCACCACCUGGCGAAUGACCGUGCUGCGUAGACAUCAGCGGGAAGGAGGGAAGCCUGCGGAGGAGGGGGUCAGGCCCUCCCACUGGAGAUGCCUUUGUGCAGUGGACAGACGACCCGGGGAGGAGAGAAAUAGAGAUCUGGAGUCAGCAGCAGGGAUUUCAAGGAGGAACCAACCCCGCUGACACCUGGAUCUUGGACGUCCAGCUUCCAGACUGUGGGGCAGUUUCUUGAUUAAGCCACCCCGCGUGUGGAGUUUGUAACGGCAGCCCCAGCAGCCGGUUUGCCUCUGUCCGGUGUGAAGAGGCGACCUCUUCCAAGAAGGGACAGGGGGAUGCCGAGGGUCCCAGAACAGUUGUUCUUCUGAUGUAUCUGUCCGGCCAAGUUAACAGUCCAGCUUCUCAGCAAGUCCCGCUCCUCCCUGCUCCCGGCCUGUCCCUGAGUCUGUCCCGAGCUGGUUCAUUCACUUAUUCACGUGCUGGUCCACCAUCGCUGGUUUACUGGGGCAUUCCGUUCAUUCUUCUUGUCCGCCUUUUGUGAGCCAGCCACUGUUCCAGAUGCUGGGUGUGCAGUGGGGGGCCUGUCCUCAGGGCACUUCCGUUGCAGUGGGAGCCAGGGCAUUAGCAGUGACAGGAGCAAGGUGCCAGGAGCGGCUCGCUGGGGGUCUUGCUGUCCCAGCGAACCCUGACCCUGACCUCCCGCUUCCAUGUGAGCACAAAGAGGGCUCGGGUGUGUAUAAACAGCCUCGUCACGCUGCUAAGUGUUCUGCGGGUCAUGAGAGGUUGUGCAUCGCGAGUACAGAUGGGGACCUUCGUGUGUGCCCCCUCUGCAAGCCCCGUCUUGGGGAGAGGAACGAGGGACUCUGUGGCCCCGGUGGCAUGGAUGUGUGACACCCGCCAGGGCUGGAUGUUCUACGUAAAGACCACAGGUGACAACACCAGAGGGUCGCCGGGGACUCAGGGGGUCUCUUCAGGAGAUUGGGGGUCGCAGGUGUUGUGCAGGGCAGGGCGACUCAAAGCAUGCCUCCUGGGAUCACCAGUGCCACCUGGGACCUUUUGAGAGAUGCAAAUUCAGGCUCCACCCCAGACCUACUGAAUCAGGAACUCCGGGGUGGGGCUCCCCCGGGACUGCUGAUGCGCCCAGAAGUUGAGAAACACUGUUACUGGGGACAAGCGUGGCUCUGGGGGCAAACGGGUCCAAUUUGAGAACUGGCCUUCUGCUUACUGAGGUUUUGUUCUCUUAUAUUUAAUAAGGGCAUAAAAAAAAGCACCUAACUCCUCCCACCAACUUCCAAAGCUGUGAAUAGUGUACUAGAUAAUGCGUGUGAGUGUGGGGUCCAGUACAAAGGCAGGAAACACUAGCUAGUUAUUCUUUUAUUAUAAUUAUUAUUUUCCUAUCUGCUUAUGGAAAGCAGGCCUUCCUACCCAAAGUGUUGGAGCAUCGGGAGCUGGUUAGAAACCCUCAGCGUGACCCCAGCCCUCUCUCAAACUGGCUGCCUGGCUGGCUCGGUGCUCUCGCCACCCAGGAGGACUGGGGAGGCUGGCUUGCUCGGGGCCCUAGAGGCCUGAGGGCUUAUAAGCCAAGAGUUGUCAGGAAUCUGGGCCCCAACCUGCUCCAGGAAGUCUGGCCUAAGAUAAGGCAACACCAUCAUUACCCCCCCAGACAGUGCAAACUCAGGGCCUCUGCAGGAUCCAAACAAGGAAGCCUGGUGGCAUUUUGGGGAGGACAGGUUCUGAGGGGAAGAGCAAGGUGCUCAAUAGGUUUGUGUGUGAAGUGGAGUCAGCCAUAAAGAUUUCCUAGGAGCCGGGGCGGCCCGGGGCUCCAGGCACCAGGGAGGGCGGGAGUGUGGUCUUAGUGUUCCUAUUGUCCCACCGACUUCUUGAUUAGGGCUUCCCUCUGAGCACCUCGCUUUGUGACCCAGAGAGCAGAAGGUUGUUGAAAGCUGUAAUAAAGCUCCGAGCUUGAACCAGCUUUGCCGCUGCUGGGGACAGUUCAGAAAGGCCACGGGAGACAUGCACACUCAGCGAGCUCACAGGCAUUUCCACGGGCAUUUCCUGCCCUGCCCCACUCCUUCAUCAGGAAGCUUUACUGGGUGAGGCUGGACUUGGGGGUGGGGGGGGGGCAUGGCCUUGGACUCCCAGGCCUGCUUACAUGGCACGACCAGUCCAGCCUCUUCUUGCACAGGGGCCGAGGUGGGGCCUACACACCUCAUCCUAGGACUGAGGCUUUUCACUAGCUCCUUUCCAAGAUUUCCUGGGAGAUAAUCCAGGUGUUGGGCCAGUUUGUCAGGAUCAUGAAGAGGCUGGGAUACAGUGGCCUCCCCUGAGCUCAAAGGGCUUUGGCCCUAUCUGCACGGGUGACACCUUCCUGGUCUGCUCUUGAGUUCAGUCUCCUUCUGUGGUGGGCUCUGACCCCUUUCCCAACCGUGACCCACCCCAACCCCUGCAGAGAUAACUAUCAGCGAUAUUCCCUCAGUUGGCUUUCCUGGCUUCCCCUCUGGGGCUCACCGAAUGGGGUGAGAACACUAACAUUCCCGCAAAAGAUAUGCUCGGGCACCGACAAAUCAGAGAGAGGAAAUAAAGGUUAUAUAUUCCUGUCAACCUUCCAUUCAGAUAUAUAUUUUCCUCCCAUCAUCCUUGCUUUUAUUUUAUUAUUUAUAUGUCUCUAUUAUUAUCUGGAUUCUUAAAAACGAUCUGAAAUUGUUUAGGAAAAAGACAUUUUUAGUGGUAAUCUACUUCUUAUGUCAAAGGGGGAUGAGAUGUGGGGAAGAAGAUUAACCCCCAAGUCAGGCCACAGUCACGGCUUAGACACAGGGAAAGGGAUGGAGGGGUCUGUGCUGAGUUGACUGUUGUGACCACCCAGGUUCUUGACUCUCUUCCUUCCCGUCCCUGCCCCCUCUUCCUGGUCCCUCCCCAAGAAAGAGGGGCAGAUGCCACUUGGGGAGAGACGUUUCUCUCCCUCUGCUCCUUUGCUCCUCAGGGGUAAGGGAAGAGCUAAGGGAAGCAGUUAGCCCCACUGGCCCCACCCAGGCCCUUCAUGGAAUGUGGCUUCUUGGCUCACCCACCUUCACACAACCUUCUGACACCCUCUCUCCCCAGCCUGUCCUGGUCUCAGGUCAUUUGGUGGCCCCUAAGCCUUCAGCUGUGGGCCUAUAAACCUUCCCCAUACACUGGUACUCCGGUCUUCCGUCUGAGCCCAUCGCCCCAGCCUCUAAGCUGUCUCCCCCCGAAAACCCUGGGCAGACUGCGCAUUGCCGUUGCCGAUAAACCCUGAACCCGAAUCUACAGCCAUGCACGCAUCUUGUGUUGUUCCGGAAGGACUCGGGGCUUCGGGCUUGGUCUGUGUGAUGUCUCUUCGGGAGAGAAUGUAUAUGGCACGGUGUGAAAGAGCCCGCCCACUUGGGUUUGGUCCGCUGUCCACUGCGUGCCCUUGGGCACAUCUCAUCGGUCUUUGUUGGUGGUGGUUUCGUUGUGGUAAAGUACACAUUUACCAUCUUAAUUAUUUUAAGGUAUACAGUUCUGUGGCAGGAAAUACAUUCAUGUUGUUGUGCAAAUCACCACCACCCAGCUCCAGAACUCAUCUUACAAAACGGAAACUCUGGAAAGUUCUGACAACAUGGUAUAGCAUGGAUGAAACUUGACGACAUUAUACUAAGUGAAGUAAGUCACAGAAGGACAAAUACUGCAUGAUUCCACUCCUAGGAGGUAACGAGAGUUGUCAAAUUCAUAGACACAGAGAGUGGAAUGCCAGGGGCCAGGGGCUGGGCAGAGGGGGAAGUGAGGUGGUGGUACUGAAUGGGGACAGAGUUUCAGUUUGAGUCUUGGAGGUUGGGUGCAGAACAGUGUGAAUAUAUUUAACACAAAUGAACUGACACUUGAAGAUGGCUAAGGAGGUAAAUUUUAUGUUUUAUGUAAUUUACCGCAAUUAAAAAUUUUUAAACUAAAAAUAAAUUUUAAAAAAAUGGAAACUGUACCUUUACCCCAUUUCUAUUUGCCUCAGUUUACUCAUUUGUCAAAUAGGAAUAAUCAUUCUCCCCAUCUUGGAGGGGUGUUGUAAAGAUCCGCUGGGGGAUGUAUAGGAAGGGUUCACAUCGGUGCCUGGCCACCUGAGAGCCCCAUGUCAGCUCUUACUAGUGUUUCCUGUUGAGCAGGGUGGGAAGGGGGAGGUUAGUAGAGAAAAGGGACAGGGAUGAUAGGAUAGAGUGGGGAAGUGUGAGGGAGGGGAGUCAGUCCCAGGACCUUGGGAAUCUAUCCCCCGAGAUAGAGGAAUUCCUUAAGGCUUAUUGACCUGAAUGCCUGGGUCCCAGAAGAACAGCUGAGUGGGCCGAUUAUGCAAACACUGAUCAUUUGAAUUUGUGAUCAUGCAUAUACAGUAGGCUGGAAUUUCGGAGUCUCCUACCUAGCAGAAGGGUAAGCUGAGCUCAGUUUGGGCACAAAUCAGAGAGGUCGAGUACAUGGGAGAUUUUUAAAUUUCUUAACGGAAUAAACUACCUCCAAGCCCUGAAACAGGGUUGCUGGCAAUAUGGUUGCAAAGUGUCUUACCUUCCAGUUCAGUACCCUCAGAGCAAUUUUGAAAAACAUUUCCAUAAAAAAAACCCUUAUGAAACUAUAAAUGUAAUUACAUGUAAUAAGAAAAAAAUCAAAUCCUUAAAAAUCUGAGUAUGGUCCCCCAUUACAUUGGGGUGUCACCUGGGUGAAGCCCGGGUUCCUGGACUCUCUCCUCCUUAUAGCACCCCCCAUGACUGCAGGACAGCAACUAAGCAGAGCCCCCCAGUCCUGUGGAAAGAUCCAGCUGCGGAUGGGCAGCAAAGAUGAAUGAAAUGAAAAAAGGAGAUUAGUCCAAAGGGUUUUAGAGCAUCUGUCGGACCAAAUGUUUCCUGAUGUUUGUAUGAAUUCUCUCGGGCUCUUGCUCCAAGGACUGUAAUGACCUCAUUCCCCGCUGACUUUGUCCUCCAGCCAGACCGCAGGCAAGCCCAGGUGGUCUUCUGUUGCAGGAGCUGAGGAGUGGGGACAGGCUGCCUCCUGUCCUCAGGGUGUGUGUAUGGAUGGGGGUCAGUGAGCACAGUGCCUGGGUGUGAGGGCUGUGGGACCCCUCAGCCUCUCCCCCUUCCCUCCGUCCUCCAUCCUUAGGCAAUGGAUGCGGCAGUAAGGCUGGGAAUGCUGGAGAUACCGGUGCUUUUCUGUUCUAUAGCUUUAUCGGGUUUAACUGACGUACAAUACAUGACACACAUUUGAAGUGUGCAUUUUGAGAAGUUUUGACAUACAUAUACACCCAUGAAACCGUUACCAGGAGAUACAUAUCCACCCUCUGCACCCUGUGCCCCUCCCAGGCAACCACGGAUCUGCUUUUUGCCUCUAUACAUUCUUUCCAUUUUACAGAAUUUUAUUUAAAUGGAAGGGUACAUUAUGUCCUUCUUUGGUCCAGACUCUUUCACUCUGCAUCAUUAUUUUUUCAGAUUCAUCCAUGGUCACGUGUAUCACCUGUUCAUUUCUUUUUAAUUCUGUCAUUUGUUUAUCCAUUCGAGUGUGGAUGGGCAUUUGUAGACAAGACUUUGUGUGGACAGAUGCUUUCAUUUCUUCUGGGUAAAUAGCUAGGAGUGUAAUAACUGGAUCAUGUGAUAAGUCCAUGUUUAUUUAAGAAAUUACCUCACCGUUUUCCAAAGCGGCUGUGCCAUUUUAUGUUCCCACCAGCAGCACGCGAGAAUUCCAGUUGCUCCGCAUUCUUACCAGCAUUUGCUGCUGAAGGCCUGUAAUUGUAUACAUUCUAAUAGACGUUCACUAGUAUCUUGUGGUUUUGAUUUGCAUUUCCCUAACUAAUGAUUUUGAGCCUCUUUUCAUGUCCUUA